UGGUCGAAAGGACGACAAACGUGCGACAAACACUCGACAAGCCCGACAUUGUUUUUCCUAUCGAUUUUCCUUCAAUUUGACGUCACGAUUUUCGUCGACGCAAGCAGUUUGACAGUUCUUUUCAGUUGGUCUUGUUUUAACUUGAUUGCAACCGGAUUGAACCAGUUUUCGUUGCUUCGCGAGCUUCGCAAGGAUUUUGGCCGGUUGGUAGGUUUCCUGAUUUCGGUCAUCGUGGUGGUAGAGGCGAAGGAGGAUGGGAAAUAGAGAUAACCCGGCGGCCAUGCCGGAAGACGGGAGGAACCGGUCUGCGGUCAAGUAAACGGAUGUUUUACUUUCCGCGGGAGGUUGCGGAGUAUUCCCAAAGGAGAAGAAGGAUGAAAUACCAAGUUCCACCCAAGGGAACAUAAAGAGAGAAACGGAACUUCCAAUUCCUAGGGAGUUGUUCACUGUUCUGGGUGAAUGAAAAGGAGGAGGAGGACGGAAUAAUAUACUCCCGGCGGCGUUUCUGAUCCGACAGAAGUUGUUAUCAAUGGAACUGGUGAGUCAUGUUUUUGAAGUAAUAAAAAAAUCAAACAAUCA